rnacentral:rRNA from 1 species
UACGUAGGGUGCAAGCGUUGUCCGGAAUUACUGGGCGUAAAGUGUGCGCAGGCGGCCGCGCAAGUCGAGUGUGAAAUCCCCGAGCUUAACUUGGGAAUUGCGCUCGAAACUACGUGGCUGGAGUGUGGCAGAGGAAGGUGGAAUUCCACGUGUAGCGGUGAAAUGCGUAGAUAUGUGGAGGAACACCGAUGGCGAAGGCAGCCUUCUGGGCCAACACUGACGCUCAUGCACGAAAGCGUGGGGAGCAAACAGG